AACCUGCCUUUGAGAAGGGGAUAACUGUCCGAAAGGAUAGCUAAUACCCUAUAUUGCCUUUUGUCACUAAGGCAAAAGGUGAAAGCGAGGCUGUCAAAGGCUUCGGCUCAAAGAGGGGUUCGCGUCCUAUCAGGUAGUUGGUGGGGUAAUGGCCUACCAAGCCAAUGACGGGUAGCUGGUCUUAGAGGAUGAUCAGCCACAGUGGGACUGAGACACGGCCCGCACCCCUACGGGGGGCAGCAGUGGGGAAUCGUGGGCAAUGGGCGCAAGCCUGACCCCCGCAACGCCGCGUGAGGGAAGAAGCCCUUCCGGGGUGUAAACCUAUCUCAGAUAGGAAGAAGAUGGGACUAGGGGCUAAUACCUCCUAGUCUUGACGGUACCAUCAGAGGAAGGGACGGCUA
rnacentral:rRNA from 1 species